CAUCGUCUUUACCUUCACCUAGAUAACUCUCACCCUAUCCCCACCUCACACCCUGACUUCUUAAGGUAUCUCAUGUGAGAAACCUGCAGUAUUUUCAACCCUCACUCCUUGUUGCUUUGUGCAAUGGUGUAUGUUUUCACAGAAUAUUUUAUUUUACUUUCAUAUUCUUAGAAAUAUACCUAUGUAUUGUCUAUGUAAUAUGUGUCUUCUUCAGAAUGGAGGUUAUUUGAGGAACCCUAUCUGUUUUGCUGUUAUAUUUGUAGUACUUAGUAUUUACUUUAAUCCAUGGUAUAUAGUUGGUGCUUAAUACAUGCUUAUAUCAUGAAAGCCAGAACUCUGCUUCAGUGUGGGAAUUAGAAGCCACUUUCUUCCUGCUGCAGCCUCUACUGCCAUUCCCCCCUACCCUGUAAUUGGGACCAAGAUGAAGGGUAAGUUUGUGAUUAUCCUUGGUUAGCAGCGUGGGGAUAUGGGCUACUACUUGUUUCUUCCUUUCCUUGCUAUGUUCUCUGGAACAAUGAGUAGUAAAAUAUGUCUACCAAAACACAGCUUUCUUUCAUUCAUUAAACAAAUAUUUGAGUACCUACAAUUGUUAAGGCAGUGUUGCCUGUAUUUCCUUGAGUUACUAUAUUUCUGCAGUGAAAGCUUGAGAAAUCAAGUGACAAGCAUGCAAUCACUCAUUAAAAUGUAGUGACUGUCUCUGAGUUUCUGUUUCUCAGCUAAGUUCUGCAGGGUGCCACAAAAAUGAAGAAAACACUGUCUUGCCUCUUAAAGAACUUGUGAUCUGGAGGGUGACAGGGCAAUGCACUUGCUUCCUCUCCUUGGUUUCUAAAUGUUGAAGUGCUCAGAAACUUGGAGUUCUGUCCUUUUUUCUUCUCUCUCCACUGACUCUAGGUGUAGUUGCCGUAUAUAUGAGAUGACUUUCAAAUUUAUAUCUCUGGAUUCAUAUCUAGCAUCUGACAUCUUUAUUUGAAUAUUGAAUAGGUGUUUCCAAAAUGACACGUCCAAAACAUGAUUGUCACCCUGUCAACCUGGGCCUCCUCUAGCCUUCCCCACCUCAGUAAUUAUUAUCACCAUUUACUCCAUUACUUAUGUCCAGAAGGUUAGAGCCAUCCAUGAUUCAUUUCAUUCCUUCCCAUAUCGAGUCCCUCAGCAAAUCCUGUUGGUUCAGUCUCCAUAUCUUUAAUUUCCUGCAUGGAUUAUUGCAGUUGCCUCCUGUUGCUUUUCUUGCUUCCUUUUAGGCCUUCUAUAAUUUAUUAAGUAUGCAACAGCUAGAAUUAACUUUUCAAAAGUAUAAGUCAGGUAAUGUCAUUACCCUGCUUAGAACCUUCCAGUGUUAAUCAGUAACAUCCAAUGACUUGGUCGGGUGUGGUGACUCAUACCUGUAAUCCCAGCACUUUGGGAGACUGAGGCAGGCAGAUCACUUGAGGCCGGGAGUUUGAAACCAGCCUGGCCAACAUGGUGAAACGCUGUCUCUACUAAAAAUACAAAAAUCAGCUGGGCAUGAUGGCAGGCGCCUGUAGUCCCAGCUACUCGGGAGACUGAGGCAGGAGACUAGCUUGAACCCAGGUGGCGGAGAUUGCAGUGAGCCAAGAUGGCGCCUCUGCACUCCAGCCUGGGUGACAGAGCAAGACUCCUUCUUAAAAAAAAAAAAAAAGAAAAGAAAAAA
ensembl:lncRNA